CCAAACCCUCUAAACCUACCUUACCUGUCAAACAGAGAUCUAACCUAACUAGCACCACUUGCGCCGGUGUUCUAACCAAACUACAGGGGGUGGUCCGCCCAGGUCUGACCUAGUGGUUUUAGACAGAGUAAAGCUACGGGAGGAGUAUGCCCCAGGGCCUCUUGCCUAAAGCACAAUAGCUUUCCCCUUCCCCCCGGAAACAAAUGAAAAAGAUUAACACAAACAAUUGCCACAACACACAAUGUGGUUAAAGAUGAACACAGACACUUGCCACAAUACACUUAAUCACAAAUGUUCUUUCUACCUCUAGACAGCAACACAGACCGAUAGCAACAGCAGGUGUGACUCUCCUGUGAGAUACCAGAACUGUGGCUUAUAUGCAGGCUAAACCAGCUGCAAGCACUGACGAGCGGGCGUAGGGGCUCUCCAAUCAGCCCCAAACCGACCAAUCAGCUGCAACCAGCGAUCAGGAAGCCAAUUAGCCUGCAACCACCACAUAGAACACCAAGGGACAAAAACACACACGAACACAGAACAAAAGAAGGCACCAGGGACGUAACAGCCUCACACACACAGUGCUGGAGAUCACCCUAUGAAUGGCAGACAAGGGGAUUUGAGAAACGUGUCAAGCCACUCCAGAUGACCCAUGUUAUGCUGUCGGAGGCCCAUCCCGUACCUCCUUUCUUCCCUGCCAGAACAAACCUUAAACACCUCCUGGAACAUGUUCCCCAUGAAUGAACCAGAUUGGGGACAGGUGGAGCUGAUUGGGUCGUUGACAGGUUGCACCUGGGUGUGGGACCAACUAGAAGAG
ensembl:lncRNA